UACGGAGGGUGCAAACGUUGCUCGGAAUCAUUGGGCGUAAAGCGCACGUAGGCGGUCCUUUAAGUCGGGUGUGAAAGCCCUCGGCUCAACCGAGGAAGUGCAUUCGAAACUGGGGGACUUGAAUACUGGAGAGGAUGGCGGAAUUCCCGGUGUAGAGGUGAAAUUCGUAGAUAUCGGGAGGAACACCAGCGGCGAAGGCGGCCAUCUGGACAGAUAUUGACGCUGAGGUGCGAAAGCGUGGGGAGCAAACAGG
rnacentral:rRNA from 2 species